rfam:Triticum aestivum genome assembly, contig: Triticum_aestivum_CS42_TGACv1_scaffold_641754_T_7AL-0.151509_2AL-0.138772
UAGCUACUCCCUCCGUUCGGAAUUACUUGUCUUCAAAAUGGAUGUAUCUAGUAGAUACAUCCAUUUUGAAGACAAGUAAUUCCGAACGGAGGGAAUAGUAG